rnacentral:rRNA from 1 species
GGUUAAGCGACUAAGCGUACACGGUGGAUGCCCUGGCAGUCAGAGGCGAUGAAGGGCGUGCUAAUCUGCGAUAAGCGCCGGUAAGGUGAUAUGAACCGUUAUAACCGGCGAUACCCGAAUGGGGAAACCCAGUGUGAUUCGUCACACUAUCAUUAACUGAAUCCAUAGGUUAAUGAGGCGAACCGGGGGAACUGAAACAUCUAAGUACCCCGAGGAAAAGAAAUCAACCGAGAUUCCCCCAGUAGCGGCGAGCGAACGGGGAGGAGCCCAGAGCCUGAAUCAGCAUGUGUGUUAGUGGAAGCGUCUGGAAAGGCGCGCGAUACAGGGUGACAGCCCCGUACACAAAAGCGCAUAUGCUGUGAGCUCGAUGAGUAGGGCGGGACACGUGGUAUCCUGUCUGAAUAUGGGGGGACCAUCCUCCAAGGCUAAAUACUCCUGACUGACCGAUAGUGAACCAGUACCGUGAGGGAAAGGCGAAAAGAACCCCGGCGAGGGGAGUGAAAAAGAACCUGAAACCGUGUACGUACAAGCAGUGGGAGCCCCACCACUAAGCCAGUGGUGAACUCCACAUACGCAUCCUUUGCUGAGGAGACGGUUAACGGAGCGAAAGCGACGUUCAACCUCAAAAGAAGCAGAGGGGGCUU